rnacentral:rRNA from 1 species
CCUACGGGAGGCAGCAGUGGGGAAUAUUGCACAAUGGGGGAAACCCUGAUGCAGCGACGCCGCGUGAGUGAAGAAGUAAUUCGUUAUGUAAAGCUCUAUCAGCAGGGAAGAAAAUGACGGUACCUGAGUAAGAAGCCCCGGCUAACUACGUGCCAGCAGCCGCGGUAAUACGUAGGGAGCAAGCGUUGUCCGGAUUUACUGGGUGUAAAGGGUGCGUAGGCGGGAACACAAGUCAGGCGUGAAAUACCGGGGCUCAACUCCGGGGCUGCGCUUGAAACUGUGUUUCUUGAGUGAAGUAGAGGCAGGCGGAAUUCCUAGUGUAGCGGUGGAAUGCGUAGAUAUUAGGAGGAACACCAGUGGCGAAGGCGGCCUGCUGGGCUUUAACUGACGCUGAUGCACGAAAGCAUGGGGAGCAAACAGGAUUAGAUACCCGAGUAGUC